CAACGGCGUCUUACCAAAGAGAUCGACGCCUGCCUUCAAAUUUCAAGCUGGCACAUUCGUUCAGCGCCACCUUCGUUUUAUUCGAACCACCCCCAAGACUAUGACGUUGGCAGACUUUUACGAUUCUCAUCCACCUGUGAACACGAGGAACACACUGGCGAACAUUUCAAGCUUAACAACAUCAUUUCGAAACUGGCAAGUUGUUGCCUUCCCAUCGAAACUCUUUUCGACGACUCCUUAUCUUCUUCCUAUCUUUAAUCCUUUGUAUCUCCUUUCAUCAUAUGUAUGUGGAUCAUGGGAAUGAGGUUAUUCAUCUGGAACGAUGCCGAUGUUCGAACAUUCCUAGUUCGAACUAGGGAAUGAGUAAUCUGUUUCCAUUUGGUACACCAUAGUUACACUGUGUAUAUAUAUAUUUUACCAUAAACGAAUAAGGUGUUCCUAGGAUAAAGAACGAUACUUGUGAGAUAAGCCACAAGAUUUUGCUUACAAUGAUAGUAAUGUUGAUGACGAUGAUGAUCAUGAUCAUGGUGAUGAUGAUGGCGUUGUUGCUGAAAAUCAUACAAGAACGUAUAUAGGUUACGCAGACGCAGGCGUUUUCUCUAAUGUGGAAGGAGAUAUCGACGGAGGAGAGAAUGAGAGAGAUGCUGAGUGUGAUCAAUAUGGGGGAUGUUAUACAGAGUUAGUCACUACCCUAACUCCGCUUGCGUUUGUCUUGCGCGGGAAGAACGUGAAUCCUUCGAUUAGUUGCCUGAUCAGAAUAUCUCUCACUACUUUCUUAACUAUAUCAAAAUCGUUUCUAAUUUAUGAUUCGAUAUAAAGUAUUAGGUAUGGAAUGAAAGAUAAUAGGAAACUAAAAAUCGUGUCCUUUCUUCCUUAGCUCGAAAAAUUGUGAGAUUUAAGGAAAAAACGAUGGCUAACGGAAAAGAUAAGAAUAAAGGCAAAAUCGUGACGUGUGCAGUAAUCAUAAGCGUAAAACAGUACCGUGCUAACGUUCAACGUGACAAAGAAAGCACCACGCAUUAGUCACCGGCACAAUGCUUCUAAGAAUCUCUUGAGAGAAUGGAAGAAAAAGUAGGCGAAGGAAGGAUGAGGCUAAGAAGGAAGAGAGAAUGAGGAAAGAUUACGAUGCAAACAAAAGAAAAACGGCAUCCUCGCUUGCAUCAUUUGUAACGUUGCUCCAAAUACAAUUCUUAAAAAUUGCGAUAAAACGGUAUUUCAGAGUGUAGUAGUUUUCUUUUGGGAUAUUGAAAAAUACAAAAAAAUAAAAAAACAAAAAGAUUGCAAUACGGUAAACCUUGAUUUAGAGAGAUCAAAACUAGUUUUCUUAUUUGAAAACAGAUCGUGAUUCUAUAUAUUUUGUACAUCUUUACGAAAUACAUCUAAACUGUUUUAUUCGAAGCGACGAUGGACGAUGAUAUUGAAAACAUUGAAAUACCCGCUCUCAAUGAGCAAUAUGGAAUACGUCUUUGUACCUUAAAGGCACAUCUAGAUUAAUGGAUGAAAUUUCAUUGUUUAAAAGUCACUGUUACUGAAAUCUCACGAUUGGUAGAUAUUUUUUACCAGACCAAUUAUGUAUCGAUGCUUUACACUAGAAUUUCAUAUAUAGCUUUUUGAGAAAUAUAAUAUUAUACCAUCCAAUGAUACAUUGUCGAUAUGAAUGGAUUUUGCACGUACAGCGCCGUAUCAUGGCAAAAAUCUUAACCACAAUGACUUACCAUGAUUCACACUUUUUUACCAUGGAUGCAUAAAUCAAUGUAAAGGUUGCAUCUGCAAAAUUUAAACCAAUUAAAAACAAACUCUAUUAUAUUA